CCUACGGGAGGCAGCAGUGGGGAAUAUUGGACAAUGGGGGGAACCCUGAUCCAGCGACGCCGCGUGAGUGAAGAAGUAUUUCGGUAUGUAAAGCUCUAUCAGCAGGGAAGAAAGAAAUGACGGUACCUGACUAAGAAGCCUCGGCUAACUACGUGCCAGCAGCCGCGGUAAUACGGAGGGGGCAAGCGUUAUCCGGAUUUACUGGGUGUAAAGGGAGCGUAGACGGCGAUGCAAGUCUGAAGUGAAAGGCGGGGGCCCAACCCCCGGACUGCUUUGGAAACUGUAUGGCUGGAGUGCAGGAGAGGUAGGUGGAAUUCCUAGUGUAGCGGUGAAAUGCGUAGAUAUUAGGAGGAACACCAGUGGCGAAGGCGGCUUACUGGACUGUAACUGACGUUGAGGCUCGAAAGCGUGGGGAGCAAACAGGAUUAGAUACCCCUGUAGUC
rnacentral:rRNA from 1 species